CGGAAAUCUGAACCGGGAGUGAGUAGUUCGUUUUGCAAGAUAGUUUAAGAUGAUUUCUACACAAUGAGAGUACACAGUGAGUAUUGUCAAUGGCGGCCGAUCUAAUAAUAUAACAUGGUCUAACUUUCAAUGGCAAUAAACAUGCACAGACGUAUUACGCACACACACUAAUGAAGCAGAUAAGACAACACAUUGCUGGACUUUGCUUACUGUUAAGUGAGGUAAAGUGUGUUUUCAAUGGAGAAAAACGACGAGGAAGAUAACACCAACGAUGAAGAUGGAGCAAACAACUUGAACUUAAGGGCUUGCCGGUUGGAGGAAGAACAUGGUGGAACGACACCAGCACCAUUCAAGAUCACAUCCAGACGUGAAGCACCUGACAUUUUAGAUAACGACUGGGAAGGACCGUACAAUGAACAGGUGGAAUCAGUGAGGACUACUGGAGAACAGAGACAUCGUGAUGAGAGGGAUGAUCUCUCAGUGUCCCCCUUCAGCUUCAUGGACACCUGCAAUUCAUUCAUAUCCAGCCUUUCCUCCACAAACACCUCCACCCAUCAUCAUUCUGGUGUUUCAUCCUCAUCUUCUUCUUCUGUGUUGUGCCUGACGCCACCCUUACCCCCCACUGUGGAGCUGUCAGCUGUGUUGACACAUACUAGGCUAACCCUGGAUGUUUACCGAAGUGGGGCAUCUGUUCUCCCACGGCUAUGGGGCUCCAUUCCAGAGCACCUUAGAGGGAUACAAUACUUGAAACUUGGCUCUGAGGAUAAAACCGCAUUGGAUGGUGCACUGGAUGUCCUCCCACAUUUGAAAGCUCUCCGUUCACUAGCCAUUCGAGGGCACCGUUUUUAUGACUCACAAGGAACUCCCCUGCUGGGCCUCCUCACCACUCUACCCACAUCCCUCUCUUCACUCUCUCUUCUGGUGCACGUGGAUCUGUCCUUCAACCAGCUCUCCAUCCUUCCAUCGUGUCUUCUCAGCUUACCUGUGCUGUCUGCCUUGCUGCUGUGUUACAACCGCCUGUUAGUGCUACCCCCUGAUAUAGGCCAUCUGUCCACCCUCACCUACCUCUCCCUCUCUGGAAACAAGCUGGUUUCCCUCCCUGCGAGUUUAGGCGAUCUGAAAAAGCUACAGUCACUGGAUGUUUCAGAUAACCUCCUCGAGGAGCUGCCAAAUGAAAUUGGUUCUUUGGGAGGGCUUGUUACAUUGGAGCUGCCCCACAAUAAGCUUAAGUGGCUACCGGAGACCUUGGGUUGUCUCCACUCCCUAAGGGCACUUAUCAUCUUCAGCAAUGACCUUCGCUUAAUUCCACCUUGCCUGAGUAAACUGCCUCUGCUGAAAAUGGAUGUUCGUGACAAUCCUUUGGGGCGACUGCCAACUCCUCCACCUCUUCUCCCCACACCUAACGCAACAGCAAAUAUUCCAGAAUCGCAUCUCCUGUUUAACCAGCACAGUUUUAGUGUUACGUCUGCUGGAUGUCAUGUGUUUCUACCAGGGGGGGCCGAGCUGCUGUUCCCCCCGGGGUGCCUGCACAAACCCACAACACUGGAGUGGGUCGAGAGGAGACCACAAAGAAAGUGGGUCCUGCUCGAGGAGCAUGAUAUCCUCCUCAGCCAUCCACUAGAACUUCGUCCUCAUGGGGUUACAUUUCUUAAGCAGCCCGUGGAGGUGUGUCUGCCACACCACCGCAAAAAAGGGAGGGAGGUGGUUGUGAGGAAGUAUGAUGGAAAAUUCUGGAGCACUUUGCCCACUGUCCUCAAGAAAGGAAUUGAGAGACAGUGUAUUCAGCCCUAUGGACGUCCAGCCAGGCUGGCCUGCUGCUCUGUGAACCAGUUCUCCUGGUUUAUUGUGGUGGCCCGUCCAGCGACAGACAGCUGCUCAGUUACACCAGCAGGAGCACUUUUGGUGUCCAGCACUGAUCCUGGAGUCAAGCUUCACUUCCCUCCAGACUCCACCAGUCAAACACGUGCUAUAACUUUACAGGUGGUGCAAGUGUCCGUAGCGGAGGUACAGGUGCUGUGUGGUGAUCCACAGGUGAGCGUCAGCCCGCUCCUCUGUCUCUCGCAGACUCCCAGCAUGCAUUUCCUGCAGCCAAUCAAAGUGCAGGUCCCACUGCCGCCUGGGGUUACAGGUCACACAGUUGAUAUGUCGUGUUUAUAUCUGCUGCAUGGAGACCCCACUGCCCAAACCUGGACGGACAUCACCUCUCAAGUGUCUCUCUCUGUCACCCAUUUGUAUGCCAUAUUCUACAUUAAGCAUUUCUCCUGGUACUGGCUGUGGUACAGGACCCAGAGCUGUGUUAGUGGCAUGGUUAGAAAGGUGUACCAAAAGCUAAAACAGUUCAAAGUCCAGUUCCUGGUCCUCCAGCGGAAAACUGAUGUUUCACAAGUUCUGCUACAGUGUUUACCGACGAACAAGGUGGAAGACAGAGUGCAGUCGCUGUCAGAGCAAUAUAAUGGACCCCAGCCUUCAGACUUGUGUGACCUACUUGAAGGAGAGCAGUUCUUUGCUGGCUUUGAGAGAGGCUUAGACAUCUGCACAGACAGACCAGACUGUGUCGGGGGGAGACUAUGUUUUGUGUUUUACUCCAGCCUGAAGAAUCUGAAGGAAGUUUACAUCUCUCCAGCUCAGGGCCUCCAGGGGCCAGUGAGGGGACAAGUAAGACACUCCCCCUUGACUCGUUAUAGUACAACCAUUGCACUUCUGGGCUGUGCUACAUCAUCCCAGGAUGUCACCCAAGAAGGCUAAUGAAAAUCUACACAAUAAUAUGCAAGGGACUUUUAUUUUGAAAUGAUACCCAGAUUUAGAUUAAGCAUGCUGGGAUGGGUAUUGUUGUUAUUGAAUGAACUAUUAAUCAUAAUUCCGUGUGUGGUUAAGUGUAAACUUAUGAGAAUAAAGAGACAAAAGUAGGUGAAUCAUCUAUUUUGACCUUUUUUAAAUAAAAAAUAUGUUCUUAAUACAAUGAAUUUGUAAUACAGUGGAACCUUGGUUAACGUCAUGAAUUUGUUCCAGAAGGGCCGAUUCUAACCGAAAUCGAUGUUAAUGGAAUACAUUUUUCCCACAAGAAAUAAUAGCUUCCAAUUAAUCCGUUCCAAAAAGCCAAAUGUUAACACAAAACACACUUUUAUAGAUUUACAAUUAUAGUUUGACAUGCAGAAAACAAUUUGCAUAUAAAUAUGUAUAAAUGACGACUGAAAGGGUAAAAUGAAACCUUCAUUGGAGACGUGGCUGAAAACAAGGUGGUGGUGGGGGUUGAUCUCACUGCGACGUCGUGCCUGGGAACACUCACGUUUUCACUGAAGGUAAAAGUAACCUUAAAUGUUCAUUUAUCCAUUGUAUUCGUUGUUUAUAUGCAUUUAGAAUUGUUUUAUGCUUGUAAAACUAUAAUUGUAAAACUGCAAAAAUGUGUAAAAACAUUUUUGAGAGUCAACGCUGAUGCUAACAAGGAAGUACGUUUUUGGUUAAAAAAAACAAAACAUUAACAACACAAGACGUGCGCCAUAUUUUACGCUAACCAGAGAAUGCACGCAAACCGAGGCAAAAUUGUGGCGUACAUUUUUUACGGUAACCGAAAAACACGCUAACAGGGACGAACACUAACCAAGGUUCCACUGUGUAAUGAAUAACUAUUUACAUUUUGCAAUAUUUAUACAUGAUAGCCUAAUUCUUACUCCAAAAAGCCAAUCAUUGGGCCUUCACAAUAAGAGCAACACCAUCUUGGCAGUGCUUCAAGAGGUCUCUUUUUACAGAGGGGAGAUUCCCAGUCAUUUGCCAGAGGAAGUGUUGAGGAAGCGGAAAGGACUGGACAGCCAGUGGCUUGCGACAUUACCGCU